rnacentral:rRNA from 1 species
GAUGGAUGCCCGCUGUUGGUCUGAAUAGGUCAGCGGCCAAGCGAAAGCAUUAAGCAUCCCACCUGGGGAGUACGCCGGCAACGGUGAAACUCAAAGGAAUUGACGGGGGCCCGCACAAGCGGAGGAACAUGUGGUUUAAUUCGAUGAUACGCGAGGAACCUUACCCGGGCUUGAAUUGCAGAGGAAGGAUUUGGAGACAAUGACGCCCUUCGGGGCCUCUGUGAAGGUGCUGCAUGGUUGUCGUCAGCUCGUGCCGUGAGGUGUCGGCUUAAGUGCCAUAACGAGCGCAACCCCUCUCCUUAGUUGCCAUCAGGUUAAGCUGGGCAUUCUGGGGACACUGCCACCGUAAGGUGUGAGGAAGGUGGGGAUGACGUCAAAUCAGCACGGCCCUUACGUCCGGGGCUACACACGUGUUACAAUGGCAGGUACGGAGAGACGGUUGUACGUAAGUACGAUCAAAUCCUUAAAGCCUGUCUCAGUUCGGACUGGGGUCUGCAACCCGACCCCACGAAGCUGGAUUCGCUAGUAAUCGCGCAUCAGCCAUGGCGCGGUGAAUACGUUCCCGGGCCUUGUACACACCGCCCGUCAAGCCAUGAAAGCCGGGGGCGCCUAAAGUCCGUGACCGUAAGGAGCGGCCUAGGGCGAAACUGGUAAUUGGGGCUAAGUCGUAACAAGGUAAC